UCACCAGCUGCCACGUAGUCAGUCACCAGUCCCUAGGCAUGUCACCUGAAGCCGCAGGCAGCCACAUGGAAUCACAGAUGCCUCCUGAGGACACAGGCAGUGAUGGUUAUGUGUGUGGUACAUGAGAGCUCAAAUUCCUUAGCUAUAUGAUUAAUGGGCUAUACAGACACCAAGUUGCUGAUGGCAUUGGAAUCCCUCUGUCUGGGAACAAAAGGAGGAAGCUUGGUUCUGCGAUUUUCCAAAACAAUAAAGCUGCCACAGAAGAGCAGCUCUGCUUCCUCUCCACCACAAAGCUCUUCCUCUCUGCAGGCCCAGAAGCAGCCAAGCGACAGUGGACUGAGAUCUGUGAGACCAUGAUUUAAGAUAAAACUUCAAGUUGAUAUUUCUCAGGCCUUUUGUCAGAGUGGCAGAACCUUGACUAACACACCAACCAUUGAAGUUGAGCAAAGGAUACUAGUUGCAGCAAUGGCUCUGAUUCUGUCAUGGUGUUGAUACCUGGGGGGGGCGACCUCUGCCCCUUUCUGUCUCCAUUGAUGCAAGUAGACACUGACCUAGAGGCUUCUGGUACCAAGUAACAACUUGUUGCCCUUCCAUCAACACAGACUCUCUGUUUACACCAGCCUCUGCCUACUUCUUGUCUGGUCUGCUAACGGCCAUGAGGAACAGCCUAAGAUGGAUGGCUUCAGAUGAUCCUGCGUGUAGAAUAUCUGAACCAUAGCCCUUUGGUAUUUGUAAAUCUGAACCACGUUUUUGGCUCCACAGAUGGAACCCAGAGAUUCACAUGUGCUAGGCCAAAUGUUCUAUUACUAAGAAACACCCAUAGUCGUUCCUAUCCGUUUUGAGUAUACUUUGAUAAUUGCCUACAUGGUAAGUACCUCUUUCUGGUGGUACCCAGAAAACUCACUUUCCAAGCCUUCCUUGAAUCUAGGAAUGGGUAAGUGAAAUAGGCUGUGCCAAUGAGCUAUGUCUUCAUGAGCCUCUGAUCCAAACGUCAGGAAUGAGUGGGAGAAAUCCUGCCCAUGCCAUCCAUCUUGCUGGCAUCAGAAAAGUGGCAGAAGCAAUGGAUGGUGGGUGAUUGUGGGAGCUGUUCUUGGAAAUUUAAGACUUUUUUGAACCUCCCAUAAAUUCUAUGAGUUAUGUAACAAUUUUUAGGAUGCUCUUUUUAUGCUAAAAAGAGUCUAUAUGGAUUCGGUGUUGUUGUAUAUAGCCAAGAACUCAGAUUGUCUCCCUUGCGGACCCAUUGCUCAAGGUCUUUUCAGCCCUUGAAAGCCUGUGGCUAUGGAGCUAAGCAUACAGCAUGACACAUACCUUGUCCCUCAUGGCUGCCUAUACUGUGGAAGUGGAGGCUCUGACUGGUGAGGCUUGAUGAAACAGGGUCUCACUAUGUAGCCUUGACUGGCUUGAAACUCACUACGCAGAACAGGCCACUCUCAAACUCACAGAGUUCCACCUGCCUCUGCCUCCCCAGUGCUGACAGUGCAAGUGUAUGCACUACCAUGCUUGGCUCUGGGCUAAACCCUUGAAACUCAGCAAAGAAUGCAUUCAGAAGAAAUAAUCCACUCAGAAGAGCCACCCCAUCUACCGCAAAGAUGUUGCAGACAAAAAGCAACAGCUAGGAAAAUGUAGUGUCCAGCUCCUAACCUCCAGUGAAUAGUGGUGGGUUUCCUCUCAAUUAAUGAAGUUGCUCAUGGAAGGCUGGAGAGAUGAGUCAGUGAUUAGGAGCACAUACUGCUCUUGUAGGAGACCUGAGCUCAGUUCCCAGCAUCCAUGUCAAACAGCUCACAACUGCCUACAACUCGUGCUUCAGGGACCCUGGCACUCUCUUCUGGCUUCUACAGGCAUCGUAUUCACACAUAUAAUCUUCUACCACCCCACCCCACCCCAAAAAUCUAAAGUAAAAGUAAAUAAAAAAAUUUAGAACUUG